UCCUUAUCGAGAGUGGGUGAGGGACGGGCCCGAUGACCCCCGGCAACCGGCGCGACCUCGCGCGAGGUGCCAACUCCCGCGGACCAAUUCCGAGAGAUAAGAG
rnacentral:ncRNA from 1 species